AGAAUCAACGCUGGCGGCGUGCCUAACACAUGCAAGUCGAACGAGAAAGUGGAGCAAUCCAUGAGUAAAGUGGCGCACGGGUGAGUAACACGUGACUAACCUACCCUUGAGUGGGGGAUAACCUAGAGAAAUCUGGGCUAAUACCGCAUAAUACCUUCGGGUCAAAGGAGCAAUUCGCUUAAGGAGGGGGUCGCGGCCGAUUAGUUAGUUGGCGGGGUAAUGGCCCACCAAGACUAUGAUCGGUAUCCGGCCUGAGAGGGCGCACGGACACACUGGAACUGAAACACGGUCCAGACUCCUACGGGAGGCAGCAGUGGGGAAUUUUGCGCAAUGGGGGAAACCCUGACGCAGCAACGCCGCGUGGAGGAUGAAGUCCCUUGGGACGUAAAACUCCUUUCGAUCGGGACAUUAUGACGGUACCGGAAGAAGAAGCCCCGGCUAACUUCGUGCCAGCAGCCGC
rnacentral:rRNA from 1 species